rnacentral:rRNA from 1 species
CCCUUAGAUGUCCUGGGCUGCACGCGCGCUACACUGAUGCGCUCAACGAGUUUACGAUCUUGCCUGAAAUGGCUGGGUAAUCUUUUUAAAACGCAUCGUGAUGGGGAUAGAUUAUUGCAAUUAUUAAUCUUCAACGAGGAAUGCCUAGUAGGCGCAAGUCAUCAGCUUGCGUCGAUUACGUCCCUGCCCUUUGUACACACCGCCCGUCGCUCCUACCGAUUGGGUGUGCUGGUGAAAUGUUCGGAUCGGCCGUUUGUCGCGGUUUCCGCGUCAUGUGGCUGAGAAGUUCAUUAAACCCUCCCACCUAGAGGAAGGAGAAGUCGUAACA